CAGAGCAAGACUCCGUCUCGAAAAAUAAAAAUUAAAAAAAAGAGUGAUACAGCUUUCAUGGUGUAAAAUAACUUUCUUGGGAUUUUCAUUAUAUUCACAUAAGUAUCCUGAGGCAGGGUAUGGGCGGGGAGAACAACUCAAGUGCACUCUGUAAGUGUAUGUUCCCAACACUCUAUUUAAUUCCAAGAAAAAAAAAAAUGGUUCUAUCUUUCAGCCUUAAGAGUCUAAUGGUGUGUUGUUAUUGUCUGUUACAAAGUAACCUACUGAGGUGGGAUAAAACUAUGUUGGCAGAGAGAACAUGAUGCAUUCAUAGUUAUGCAAAAAUCAGAUUAAUUAGCACGAGAUCUAUGAUACAUUCUGAAUAAAACAGUAGCAAAAUGUAAUACCAGCAGUAAAUGUGAAUCCUAAUCAAUAACAUGCUAUUGUGGUUCAUCUCUGAGGUUGUGGUUUCUAUUGUGGUUUCAAUCUUGGCUAUAUAACAGCGAUGGCCAUUCCAUGCAGAAGGUGGCCACCGUUUUCCCCUGAAUUAUUUCCACCAUGUAAUCAGUCACUAAUAACCCAUUACACUCCUCCCACAAAUCCCAGUGUCUAAGGUCUUGAUCUGCUCUGAUUUUUUUUGAG
rnacentral:lncRNA from 10 species